CGCAUUAGCCAACAGCUGCUAUUAUAGUAGAGGAAAGUCCACGCUGACACUUCCUGCGAUGGAAGUAGUGUUCAUGCUAAGCCUAAUAAGCUUAGGCCUAGACGACUAGUGCCACAGAGACGAGAAUUGUGAAACGCGGUAAACUCCAUGAGUCAGAAACCCAAAUUUUGGUAGGGGAAUUUUCUAAAGAGAAAUGAAUCAAUAGAAAAAACCAGUUGUACUGGUUAGAUAAAUUGUUGGCACCAUUUUCGGUACAAAACGUGGCUUACAAU
rnacentral:RNase_P_RNA from 1 species